rnacentral:lncRNA from 1 species
UCAAAUCAGCUAUAGUUAUAUCAUCCUCGACAAUUGAAAGGAGCUUUGCUAGUGCACGAAAUGAGAAAUUCUACCUCAAAACACGGGAAAAAGAAGUAACAACAUAUAAAAAUUGCACAACAGGUAUGUAUCGAUUUUUUAAUUUUUUUGUACAUAUUUAUUGAUUAUUUUUGUGGCUUGCUACAACUAUAAUUUUAGAGCUAUUUCAUUUGGAAUUUUUGUUUAUUGGGAUUAACAUUUUAAUAUGUGAAUAGCUGGCUACCUUAGAAAUUGAAAACCAUGAUUUCGUUAAUUGCCUAUGGCUUUUAGUUAGGGAAUGUUUCUUGGUAUCCGAUCAAUGGGUGAUAUUUGAUUUCGGGGCUUCUUUAUCGUGAAUUAGAUGGCUCAAGAUUGUUGAUGUAAAUUGUUUCAUGGUCUACUGGUUAUUGCAAAUUUGGGAGUUGUUGUAAUGUGUGGUUUGCUUGCAUUAAGUGUAAGUAAUUUGUAUGGAUAGCUCAAGUUUUUUGGUUCCAUUGCAGCAUUGUUAUGUAUGUUUACCAUUGAAAUGUAAUUAGAAAUAUAAAUUUCAUGCCAAUUGACUUCCAAAAGAAGCGGUUUAAGUGCACUUUCUUUGGAUAUCUAAAGUUCUAGAGAGUAAUAAGGGAUACUUGACAAAUUAUUCAUUUUUCUGAAUUUUUUUUUUAAACCCUCCAUAAGAUAUUUAGUGAUGCUCGAAUAACUAUGAGAAAUUAGCGAUAGGUCUGUUCAAAUCUAAUCAAAAAUAAAAGUGGAUGUUUCUUGGUCGGUUGGUUCGGUAAAGCCAUUUUAGAAAGGCAUAGUACUAAAUUUCUAUCAAUUAUAUGUCUAUCUGGGUUUCUUGUUUUUAUUCUGUUAAUUAAUUCUGUAUGUUUGUAGGAGUGGUUUUCUCUUUUCUUGAAUUUUUUUUAUUGUAUUCAGGUUUAUGAGAUUUGUUAAUACGUCAGAAAUUCUCAAGAGAUCGAACAAAUUGAUAGUUCAAUUCAAUCAGAUGAACAAUCAAAUAUGGCAACAAAGGCUAGAAUACCAUUUUCUUUUCAAAUCUUACAACUGGGAGAAUGUUUCAAGAAGUGAAGUUCCAAUAUUUCUAAUUCUCUGU